rnacentral:rRNA from 1 species
ACACGUAGGGGCCUGACGUUGUUCGGAAUCAUUGGGCGUAAAGGGCGCGCAGGCGGCCGUCCAAGUCCGGUGUUAAAUGGUCGGGCUCAACCCGAUCAUGCGCUGGAAACUGGGCGGCUGGAGUCCCGGAGGGGAUGCCGGAAUUCCAGGUGUAGGGGUGAAAUCUGUAGAUAUCUGGAAGAACACCGAUGGCGAAGGCAGGAAUGUGACGGGAGAAUGGCGCUGAGGCGCGAAGGCGCGGGGAGCGAACAGGUUUAGAUACCCUGGUAGUCCGCGCAGUAAACGAUGCGCACCAGGUGUCGGGCGGCAGCGCCCGGUACCGGAGCAAACGCGAUGAGUGCGCCGCCUGGGGAGUAUGCCCGCAAGGGUGAAACUCAAAGGAAUUGACGGGG